CCAGACUCCUACGGGAGGCAGCAGUGGGGAAUAUUGGUCAAUGGGCUUACGCCUGAACCAGCCAAGUCGCGUGAGGGAAGACUGCCCUAUGGGUUGUAAACCUCUUUUGUCAGGGAGCAAAGUCACCCACGUGUGGGUGUUGGAGAGUACCUGAAGAAAAAGCAUCGGCUAACUCCGUGCCAGCAGCCGCGGUAAUACGGAGGAUGCGAGCGUUAUCCGGAUUUAUUGGGUUUAAAGGGUGCGCAGGCGGAGGUGCAAGUCAGCGGUCAAAUUGCGGGGCUCAACCCCGUACUGCCGUUGAAACUGCAUCCCUUGAGUGCGCGAGAAGUAUGCGGAAUGCGUGGUGUAGCGGUGAAAUGCAUAGAUAUCACGCAGAACUCCGAUUGCGAAGGCAGCAUACCGGCGCGCAACUGACGCUCAUGCACGAAAGCGUGGGUAUCGAACAGGAUUAGAUACCCCCGUAGAG
rnacentral:rRNA from 1 species